rnacentral:rRNA from 1 species
UACGUAGGGCGCGAGCGUUGUCCGGAUUUAUUGGGCGUAAAGAGCUCGUAGGCGGCUUGUUGCGUCGACUGUGAAAACCCGCGGCUUAACCGCGGGCUUGCAGUUGAUACGGGCAGGCUAGAGUUCGGUAGGGGAGACUGGAAUUCCUGGUGUAGCGGUGAAAUGCGCAGAUAUCAGGAGGAACACCGGUGGCGAAGGCGGGUCUCUGGGCCGAUACUGACGCUGAGGAGCGAAAGCGUGGGGAGCGAACAGG